ACCUGUGUACCUGUCUGAGGAGCUCUUCUGUGUCUGUGUACCUGUCUGUGGAGCACACCUGUGCCUGUGUACCUGUUUGAAAAGAUCACCUGUGUACCUGUCUGAAGGGCUCACCUGUGUACCUGUCUGUGGAGCAAACCUGUGCCUGUGUAUCUGUCUGAGGAGCUCACCUGUGCCUGUGUAUCUGUCUGUGAAGCUCACCUGUGUACCUGUGUGAGGAAGCUCACCUGUUUCUCAUACCUGUGUGAGGAAGCUCACCUGUUUCUCAUACCUGUGUGAGGACGCUCACCUGUUUCUCACACCUGUGUGAGGAUGAUGGAAGAGGUGUCCAUUGCAGCGGCCUACGACGCCCACAUCAUUAACCAGACCACCGAAGAAGACCUGCUGGCGUCCCUGGUGGCCCAUUCCAAACUGAGAGCCGCGCAGCUACCCAAUCAGAAGCAGCGCGAGAUGAAGAGGAAGGUGCCGUUUCAAAGGGAGAACCAACCACCAAUGAGCAUCGAAAUGUACAAGAGAGAGAACCAGCUGCUGCAGAAGUCCAGCAUUCGUCUGGAGCAGGAGAACGACAUCCUGGCUCAUGAGCUGCUGAACAGUAAGGUGGUGCUCCGGAGGCACCUGGACCAGGUGGAGGACAAGGCCGAGCAGCUGAAUCAGGAGCUCCUCGAGGCCCGACUGCAGCUGCUGGAUUCCACCGAGGAGAUGCAGGUUCAGGAAGAGGCGACGACGAAGCUGAAGGAGGUUUUCCGCGCACAGCUAGAGGAAGCAGAGUCCCAGAGGGAAACGUCAAAUGCCAUUAUGGCUGAGUACAAACAGAUCUGCUCACAGCUGAGCUCCAGGUUGGAAACUGAGGAGGGCCAGGCCAAGGCAGAGCUGGACCGGGUGAAGAGCCUGGUGGGGGACUGUGAGCACUGCCAGGUGGUUUUUGACGAGGUGGGGCAGCUCCGGCCACCCUCAGAGGGGCGGGGCUCGAACCCGGGCCUGAAGACCGGCGCGCUGCAGUCUCGACAGAAGGACCUGGAGCAGGAACUGGCCCAGGUCAAAAUACAGCUUGUGGAGGCAGAGUGCAGGAUCCAGGACUUGGAGCACCAGAAGGGGGCGCUGGAGAGCGAAUUCCAGAACACCCAAAACUGGUUUACCAAAGCUCUGAGCAACCUCAAAAUUCCCCCUGUGCACCAUUAACCCUCCGUCUCUCAGGGGGAAUAGGUCUCACUGCACAGUGUGUGUGUGUGUGUGCGUGUGUGUUUGUGUAUGUAUGUGCGUGGACCAGGGAUCUCAAAAUCCAGUCCUGGAGGGCCGCUGUGUCAGCUGGUUUACAUGCUGACUUUAUGGCACUGAUUGGCUAAAAUUUCUGCACACCUUAAAUCAGCUACUCCAAGGCUUAAAUUAGCCACUGAAAAACAACCCUCCAAGACCGGGGUUUCAGAGCCCUGGAGCAGACUCCCCUCGCUCUUAAAGCAGCCCUCCUUCUCCUUCCGGGCAAAGAACCGUCUCUUAAAGACAUGCACCACAGCUUAAAGCACAUGGACAUCUCUGCUAGCUUUCACACAUUUUAUGAAGUGAACAUUGUCUUUAGUGGGGUAACAUCACAUGGGGUAAUGCCUUAAGAAUUAGGCAAUAAUA